rnacentral:lncRNA from 1 species
UUGAAGUUAGCUUUGAAAAUUGUCCAUGAAGCAUGAAGUUUAGAUUGUGAUCUGUUUAUAUUGUGCUCUGGGUUAUUCCCCUUAUCAUUAUACUUAUUGGAUGUUAUUACAACAGUUUUAGUGCACUGUCACUGCUCAGACAGACUGUCGAGGGAGCCUUACAUUACAGCCUUACAUUAUUGCACUGUCCCCUGCAUCUUGUGG